rnacentral:rRNA from 1 species
GACGAACGCUGGCGGCGUGCCUAAUACAUGCAAGUAGAACGCUGAAGGAGGAGCUUGCUUCUCUGGAUGAGUUGCGAACGGGUGAGUAACGCGUAGGUAACCUGCCUGGUAGCGGGGGAUAACUAUUGGAAACGAUAGCUAAUACCGCAUAACAGUAGAUGUUGCAUGACAUUUGCUUAAAAGGUGCAAUUGCAUCACUACCAGAUGGACCUGCGUUGUAUUAGCUAGUUGGUGGGGUAACGGCUCACCAAGGCGACGAUACAUAGCCGACCUGAGAGGGUGAUCGGCCACACUGGGACUGAGACACGGCCCAGACUCCUACGGGAGGCAGCAGUAGGGGAUCUUCGGCAAUGGACGGAAGUCUGACCGAGCAACGCCGCGUGAGUGAAGAAGGUUUUCGGAUCGUAAAGCUCUGUUGUAAGAGAAGAACGGGUGUGAGAGUGGAAAGUUCACACUGUGACG